rnacentral:tRNA from 1 species
GAGGGUAUAGCUCAGUGGUAGAACGCAGUACUUAGCAUGCACGAGGUCCUGGGUUCAAUCCCUGGUACCUCCA